GGAAUUAAGGAAGGAAAGGGGCAGCUCCGGUUCGAUACUUUGCCGCUGUCUGUGUCUUGUCUUCCUCCCGUAUUUGCUUCGUCUCCACUCUAAUCCCUUCCCACUCAAUUCCACCUUCUACCCACCCUUCUUCGUAACCUUCGCCGCUCCUGUCUCAAUCCCUCUCUCUCUCUCUCUCUCUCUCUCUCUGCGUGGAGAUACAAGCCGGUAGGUAGCUGCAACCAUGAGUGUGGCGCUGGGGACCUUCCUGGGCAAAACCCCUAAACCCUGUAGCCCCGUUUCGGCCUCCCCCUGGCUCUCUCUGCCGUCUCGGACUGCCGCCUCGACUCCUCUUCCGUCCUCUCUGCGUCUUGCUCGACGGGGCCAGCUUUCCCUCUCUGGGUUGCUUCCCAUUCAUCUUAGGCAUCCAUCUGUCGUCUCAUUUGCAGCUUCUCAUGAGGAAUCGAAACAUUCGGACGUUGAGGUGGAGAAGGAGGAGGAUGACCUCAAGAGGGAAGCUGCAGAGUCGGAAGAAGCUUGGAAGCAGACUUUAGAUGCUUUCAAAGAGCAGGCCUUAAAAAUGCAGAGCAUCUCGCAAGAGGCCUAUGAAGUAUACUCAGAGAAAGCGAUGGUGAUACUAAAGGAAACCUCAGAGCAGUUGAAGAUCCAAGCAGAGAAGGCAAGAUAUGAUUUAAGUACUGUAGCAAAAGAGAUCAGCGAGGAGGGCAAGGAAUAUUUGUCUGCAGCAGCAGAGAAUUCGCCCGAACCAGUGAAGGAGAUAGUGGAAACAUUUUCUUCUCCAACUGAUGAUCUGAAUGAUGUUUCUCAAGUUCGCGACUUUUACCUUGGAAUACCUUAUGGGUUGCUUCUUUCGCUCGGUGGAUUUCUGUCUUUCGUGGUAACAGGAAGCAUUCCGGCAAUUAGGUUCGGUGUCAUCCUCGGCGGCACUUUGUUGGCUCUGAGCAUAUCAAGUUUGAGAUCAUAUAGAAAAGGAAAAUCAUCUCCAAUAGCUUUGAAAGGGCAGGCAGGAAUAGCCGGGGUAAUAUUUCUCAGGGAGGUGCGCCUGCUGUCUAAGAGUCCUUCAUUGUGCAACUUUGUGACGGCCGUUGUCAGAAGAGGUGUGCAUAGACUGGAGCCAUGGAGAUGGAAUGGUACUUUCCCCAAUGGAGGGGGGGAACUUUAGGCGUGCUCCAAGUUUUGCUUCUGGGGCCAUGGUAGCAUUUUAUCUGUAUAGGAUUAAGCAGAAUGGUCAGCAGAAAAAGUCAACCUACGAAGAUCAGGGAAUGGAAACUUAGUUAUUUGUACACGGUAGGCGUUCAUCAGAUUUGCGAGAGCGAAGGCUAAAAAAGGGGUGCAACUAGCAGGUCCAGAGGACCGCUGACGUGCCAAGGGAUAGUUGGAGAUGGAAGUUUCUUGAGUUUUGAGAUGUUUUUAGAUUUUAUGAUGGUUGGCGAUGAUCCGUUGUUCUUCGGUUUCCACUCAGGGCCAUAGGCUAGAAAUAAUGACAUGAAGUUGGCUUGCCUUAUGUUGUAAGAUGAAAAUAGAGCUUUCUUUGGUGCAAAAAUUAGUGGGUCUGUUUCUUCCUUUCGAUUUUAUCUCAGACAUCUAAAGAUUUACCAUCCUUAUGAAUGUUCAGAUAAAUUGGAAUGGUUUUCUGA